rnacentral:tRNA from 1 species
GGGGUUAUGGCUCGGUGGUAGAGUGCUUGCCUAGCAUGCAUGAGGCACUGGGCUCAAUCCUUAGCACCA